rnacentral:rRNA from 1 species
AGUGAACGCUGGCGGUAGGCCUAACACAUGCAAGUCGAACGGCAGCACAGUAAGAGCUUGCUCUUACGGGUGGCGAGUGGCGGACGGGUGAGGAAUACAUCGGAAUCUACUUUUUCGUGGGGGAUAACGUAGGGAAACUUACGCUAAUACCGCAUACGACCUACGGGUGAAAGCAGGGGAUCUUCGGACCUUGCGCGAUUGAAUGAGCCGAUGUCGGAUUAGCUAGUUGGCGGGGUAAAGGCCCACCAAGGCGACGAUCCGUAGCUGGUCUGAGAGGAUGAUCCCCCACACUGGAACUGAGACACGGCCCCGACCCCCACGGGGGGCAGCAGGGGGGAAUUUUGGAAAAGGGGCGCAAGCCUGACCCCGCCAUCCCGCGUGGGUGAAGAAGGCCUUCGGGUUGUAAAGCCCUUUUUUGGGGAAAAAAAAGCAGCAGGUUAAACCCCCGUUGUCCUGACGGUACCCAAAGAAUAAGCACCGGCUAACUUCGG